rnacentral:rRNA from 1 species
GGAUUAGCUAGUUGGNGGGGUAAUGGCUCACCAAGGCGACGAUCCGUAACUGGUCUGAGAGGAUGAUCAGUCACACUGGAACUGAGACACGGUCCAGACUCCUACGGGAGGCAGCAGUGGGGAAUAUUGGACAAUGGGCGAAAGCCUGAUCCAGCCAUGCCGCGUGUGUGAAGAAGGUCUUCGGAUUCUAAUAAAAGGGGUAAGUUGGGAGGAAGGGCAGUAAA